UCGCGAAAACUUUGCAAUACACGAAAGUGUGACAGGGCUAUCCCGAGUGCCAUCCGCUGAGGAAGGCUUUUACCCAGUCUAGAACGCUGGGGGAAUAAGGAGAGGGCAAGUCUGGUGUCAGCCGCCGCGGUAAUACCAGCUCUCCGAGUGGUGUGGAUGUUUAUUGGGCCUAAAGCAUCCGUAGCUGGCUAAGUUAGUCCCUUGUUAAAUCCACCGAAUUAAUCGUUGGAUCGCGGGGGAUACUGCUUGGCUAGGGGACGAGAGAGGCAGACGGUAUUUUCGGGGUAGGGGUGAAAUCCUAUAAUCCCGGGAAGACCACCAGUGGCGAAGGCUGUCUGCUAGAACGCGCCCGACGGUGAGGGAUGAAAGCUGGGGGAGCGAACCGG
rnacentral:rRNA from 1 species